UAUGUAGCUGGCUUUAUAUCAGCACUGGGAAAUGGAACCCAGGCCAACAGACUUUGUGUGCUGGGCAUCAAAGUGAGGACAUGCUGCUCUGGGACCCCAGUGGCAAGAUUGCCCAUAAGAAGCCCCUGUCUGACCGCAUGACCAUCGUGGAACCCAAAGAUGAGAUCCUUCCCACAGCCCCCUUCUCAGCCAUGUCUCAGCCAGUUCCUACAUAAUAGCAAGGUCUUGACCACUGCAGCUGGAGGCUGGAUAUUGCUCUGUAAAGACAUUUAAUAAAAUCUUGCACAAAGAAAAGUAA